rnacentral:rRNA from 1 species
CCUACGGGCGGCUGCAGUGGGGAAUUUUGGACAAUGGGGGCAACCCUGAUCCAGCCAUUCCGCGUGAGUGAAGAAGGCCUUCGGGUUGUAAAGCUCUUUUGUUCGGGACGAAACGGUUAAGGCUAAUAACCUUGACUACUGACGGUACCGGAAGAAUAAGCACCGGCUAACUACGUGCCAGCAGCCGCGGUAAUACGUAGGGUGCGAGCGUUAAUCGGAAUUACUGGGCGUAAAGCGUGCGCAGGCGGUUUUAUAAGCCAGAUGUGAAAGCCCCGGGCUCAACCUGGGAAUGGCAUUUGGGACUGUAAGGCUGGAGUAUGGCAGAGGAGACUAGAAUUCCUGGUGUAGCAGUGAAAUGCGUAGAUAUCAGGAGGAAUACCGAUGGCGAAGGCAGGUCUCUGGGCCAAUACUGACGCUCAUGCACGAAAGCGUGGGGAGCAAACAGGAUUAGAUACCCCUGUAGUC